AGUGAACGCUGGCGGCGUGCUUAACACAUGCAAGUCGAACGAGAACGGAUUAUAGCUUGCUAUAAUUGUCAGCUAAGUGGCGCACGGGUGAGUAAUGUAUAGGUAAUAUGCCUCUUACUAAGGGAUAACAAAUGGAAACGUUUGCUAAUACCUUAUACUCCUUAUUAACAUAAGUUAAUAAGGGAAAGAUUUAUUGGUAAGAGAUUAGCCUGUAUUGUAUCAGUUAGUUGGUGGGGUAAUGGCUCACCAAGACUAUGACACAUAACUGGUUUGAGAGGAUGAUCAGUCACACUGGAACUGAGACACGGUCCAGACUCCUACGGGAGGCAGCAGUGGGGAAUAUUGCACAAUGGACGGAAGUCUGAUGCAGCAACGCCGCGUGGAGGAUGACACAUUUCGGUGCGUAAACUCCUUUUAUAUGAGAAGAUAAUGACGGUAUUAUAUGAAUAAGCACCGGCUAACUCCGUGCCAGCCGCCGCCGUAA
rnacentral:rRNA from 1 species